rnacentral:rRNA from 1 species
ACGGGUGAGUAACACGUAUCCAACCUGCCGUCUACUCUUGGCCAGCCUUCUGAAGGAAGAUUAAUCCAGGAUGGCAUCAUGAGUUCACAUGUCCGCAUGAUUAAAGGUAUUUUCCGGUAGACGAUGGGGAUGCGUUCCAUUAGGCAGUUGGUGAGGUAACGGCUCACCAAACCUUCGAUGGAUAGGGGUUCUGAGAGGAAGGUCCCCCACAUCGGAACUGAGACACGGUCCAA